rnacentral:rRNA from 1 species
UACAGAGGUCCCGAGCGCUGUUCGGAUUCACUGGGCGUAAAGGGUGCGUAGGUGGUGGGGUAAGUCGGAUGUGAAAGCUCGGAGCUCAACUCCGAAAUGGCAUUGGAAACUACCCUGCUGGAGGUUUGGAGGGGGGACUGGAAUACUUGGUGUAGCAGUGAAAUGCGUAGAUAUCAAGUGGAACACCAGUGGCGAAGGCGAGUCCCUGGACAAAACCUGACACUGAGGCACGAAAGCUAGGGGAGCAAACAGG